UACGUAGGGUGCAAGCGUUAAUCGGAAUUACUGGGCGUAAAGCGUGCGCAGGCGGCUCCUUAAGUCAGAUGUGAAAUCCCCGGGCUUAACCUGGGAACUGCGUUUGAAACUGGGGGGCUUGAGUGUGGAAGAGGGGGGUGGAAUUCCAGGUGUAGCAGUGAAAUGCGUAGAGAUCUGGAGGAACACCGAUGGCGAAGGCAGCCCCCUGGGCUAACACUGACGCUCAUGCACGAAAGCGUGGGGAGCAAACAGG
rnacentral:rRNA from 1 species